rnacentral:snRNA from 1 species
AGCUUUGUGCAGUGGCAAUAUCAUAGCCAAUGAGGUUUAUCUGAGGCAUGAUCAUUGCUAAUUAAAAACUUUUCCCAAUGCAAGUUCCAUGACAACUUGCAAUAUGGUCAACAUUGACAAUAUUUGGCGGUCCUUAUGGGGA